rnacentral:ncRNA from 1 species
UAAUGAAAAAGGCUAACUUAUUGAAAAAUAAGGGCGCAAAACUUCAGGUCUAAGGUGAAGAUUCGAAUUUUACUAUGAUGGCUGAGUUACCGAA